GCAGGCGCAAGACCCGGCCGCCUAUCUGCGGCUUCCCAGGCCCAUGAGAGUGACUGCGCAUGUGCACAGAGGUUAGGCCCGGUAAUUGCGCGGGACCAGACCACGUGUGUUCCUUGUGCCAGAGGAGGCUGCAAGAGAGCAUUGGAUCCCUUGGAACUGGAGUAACAAGGCACCCUCAGAGGGCAGAGACAUCAGAAACCCUGGAGCUGGAGUUACAAGGCAGUUGGAAGCCAUUUGAACCUGGGUCCUCUGCAAGAACAGUAUGUUCUCUUAACCAUUGAGCCAUCUCUCCAGCCCAAGAAGUAUUACUCCCUGGCACCCACUAAUCUGCUGUCCGAACGGAGGGACUGCCUACUGUGGAUACUUCAGAUGAACGGGAUGAUGUAAUUAGUGUCCAGCAGCUUUUGCUCAGCGCCCUGUUUGCAGGUUUCAUCCAUGUGGCAGCAUGUGUCAAUGACUUCAUUCUUUUUAUAGUCAAUAACAUCCUAUUGUACAGACAGACUGUAUUUUGUUUAUCCAGCCAGCCAUUGAUGACUACCUGAGCUGUUUCCAUCUUCUGUCUAUUGUAUUCAUGAGACUCGCUGGUCCAGACAGGUCGGUCCUUCCUAGUAGUUCUGGGAAGGGUGAGACCUAGGUUGUUCUGAUCCAGGAAGCCCCUCUCUCAAUUUCAUUUUAGGUUGCACUCUCAGUAUGAAUGGCACCCACUGAAUCUGGACAGUUCUCAGUGAGGUCUUGGGUUUCUUUGCCAGGGCAUAGCAUCCAGCCUUAAGUCAAAGCUUUGGAGACGGUUAAUGUCUGCAGGACCACGCCUCUCCAAGGAAGCAUUUGUAUGCGGUGUGUGUGGGAACCUCUCUCACUUCACAUUACAACACCCUUCCCUCGAACUGUAAAUGAAAUCCUUGAGAAGAGUCUGGUCAAAUGCCAACCUUGCAGAUCGGGAAAGUGAUUAUUAUGAAAGUAUUUGAGGUCUGGAGAGAUGGCUUCUUACAGAGGGCUGGGGUUGGUUCCUAGCACCAAUAUGGAGGUUUACAACCAGGUAAAACUGUUCCAGGGUAUCUGGCUCCCUCUUCUGGCCUCUGCAGGCAGCGGCAUUUUACA